rnacentral:lncRNA from 1 species
AUCCGGUGAAGGGUGAUCGGAAACGGAAGCCCGAUGAGGAAAAGAAGGGCGACGAGGAGAAGGAAGACGGCUUCCCCAAAGUGGACGGCUGCUUCAUGAUCUUCGGGGGCUCCGCAGCGUACGACACCAAGCGCCAGCACAAGCUGGAGCGUCGGGAGGUUUACGCCACCGAGCCUGCGACCUCGGCUUUCCUCGAUUGGUCCGCGCCGGCCAUCACCUUCGACAGGUCCG